rnacentral:rRNA from 1 species
GUGGGGAAUAUUGGACAAUGGGCGAAAGCCUGAUCCAGCCAUGCCGCGUGUGUGAAGAAGGUCUUCGGAUUGUAAAGCACUUUAAGUUGGGAGGAAGGGCAUUAACCUAAUACGUUAGUGUUUUGACGUUACCAACAGAAUAAGCACCGGCUAACUUCGUGCCAGCAGCCGCGGUAAUACGAAGGGUGCAAGCGUUAAUCGGAAUUACUGGGCGUAAAGCGCGCGUAGGUGGUUCAGCAAGUUGAAGGUGAAAUCCCCGGGCUCAACCUGGGAACUGCCUCCAAAACUACUGAGCUAGAGUACGGUAGAGGGUAGUGGAAUUUCCUGUGUAGCGGUGAACUGCGUAGAUAUAGGAAGGAACACCAGUGGCGAAGGCGACUACCUGGACUGAUACUGACACUGAGGUGCGAAAGCGUGGGGAGCAAACAGGAUUAGAAACCCGUGUAGUCC